rfam:Schistosoma margrebowiei strain Zambia genome assembly, scaffold: SMRZ_contig0009672
ACCUUGCUGACGAGUGCCAAAUAGCACGAAACCUAGGUUUAAACCUAGAU